GCGCGAAGUGACUUUGCGCGACGAAUUAUUUUUCAUCGCGCAAAAUGUGGUCGCGCAAGACUUUGAGUGACGAGUUUCAAGUUUCGUCGCGCAAAAUGACUUUGAGC
rfam:Prunus persica cultivar Lovell chromosome G8, whole genome shotgun sequence.